rnacentral:miRNA from 1 species
CCAGAGCUCAGCCACAGAUGUCCAGCCACAAUUCUCGGUUGGCCGCAGACUCGUACAAGAAUUGCGUUUGGACAAUCAGUGGCGAAGCCCCUGAGUU